GACGAACGCUGGCGGCGUGCUUAACACAUGCAAGUCGAACGGAAAGGCCCUGCUUUUGUGGGGUGCUCGAGUGGCGAACGGGUGAGUAACACGUGAGUAACCUGCCCUUGACUUUGGGAUAACUUCAGGAAACUGGGGCUAAUACCGGAUCGGAGCUCCUGCUGCAUGGUGGGGGUUGGAAAGUUUCGGCGGUUGGGGAUGGACUCGCGGCUUAUCAGCUUGUUGGUGGGGUAGUGGCUUACCAAGGCUUUGACGGGUAGCCGGCCUGAGAGGGUGACCGGGCACAUUGGGACUGAGAUACGGCCCAGACUCCUACGGGGGGCAGCAGGGGGGAAUAUGGCACAAUGGGCGGGAGCCUGAUGCAGCAACGCCGCGUGCGGGAUGACGGCCUUCGGGUUGUAAACCGCUUUCGCCUGUGACGAAGCGUGAGUGACGGUAAUGGGUAAAGAAGCACCGGCUAACUACGUG
rnacentral:rRNA from 1 species